rnacentral:rRNA from 1 species
AAGCUCGUAGUUGAAUUUCGGGGUUAGUAGGUUGGUCAUGCCUCUGGUAUGUACUGGUCUCACUGAUUCCUCCUUCCUUAUGAACCGUAAUGCCAUUAAUUUGGUGUUGCGGGGAAUUUGGACUGUUACUUUGAAAAAAUUAGAGUGUUUAAAGCAGGCUAACGCUUGAAUACAUUAGCAUGGAAUAAUGAAAUAGGACGUUCGAUCUUAUUUUGUUGGUUUCUAGGAUUGACGUAAUGAUUAAUAGGGAUAGUUGGG